UAAUAUGAACAGAAAGGGAUGAUGGAUGGACAAUGAAGAACUAAUCUUAUUUUUUAGAAUUUGAAAUUCAUAUUUCGAAUGAUAAACUAAUAGGAUUAGUCUGCCCAUUUAUAAUCAUCUCCCGUGCGACAAGUAUGAGAGUUUAUUUAAGUACGGUUCUGACUAAUCCUUCCAACACAAAUUGGGAGGAUUUUUUU
rnacentral:sRNA from 1 species